rnacentral:rRNA from 1 species
CAGUCGAACGGGGUUAUGAAGUGUGAGGAGUCAGCUUGCUGGUGACGAACAGUUCAUAACUUAGUGGCGGACGGGUGAGUAACGCGUGGGUAACCUGCCAUAUACAGGGGGAUAACACUUAGAAAUAGGUGCUAAUACCGCAUAAGCGCACGGAGCUGCAUGGCUCAGUGUGAAAAACUCCGGUGGUAUAUGAUGGACCCGCGUCUGAUUAGCUUGUUGGCGGGGUAACGGCCCACCAAGGCGACGAUCAGUAGCCGGCCUGAGAGGGUGGACGGCCACAUUGGGACUGAGACACGGCCCAAACUCCUACGGGAGGCAGCAGUGGGGAAUAUUGGACAAUGGGGGGAACCCUGAUCCAGCGACGCCGCGUGAGUGAAGAAGUAUUUCGGUAUGUAAAGCUCUAUCAGCAGGGAAGAAAGAAAUGACGGUACCUGACCAAGAAGCCCCGGCUAACUACGUGCCAGCAGCCGCGGUAAUACGUAGGGGGCAAGCGUUAUCCGGAUUUACUGGGUGUAAAGGGAGCGUAGACGGCAGCACAAGUCUGGAGUGAAAUCCCGGGGCUUAACCCCGGAACUGCUUUGGAAACUGUGCGGCUGGAGUGCAGGAGGGGUAAGCGGAAUUCCUAGUGUAGCGGUGAAAUGCGUAGAUAUUAGGAGGAACACCGGUGGCGAAGGCGGCUUACUGGACUGUAACUGACGUUGAGGCUCGAAAGCGUGGGGAGCAAACAGGAUUAGAUACCCUGGUAGUCCACGCCGUAAACGAUGAUUACUAGGUG